CUCAGGGAGAUCAGUGACUGCUAGGAGCAAGCAGGCGCCAACAGAGAGACCUGGGAUUUGCGACUGAGACUACCAGCAAGACAGGCUUGGGAGGAGCCCUGGUAAGAAAUACACUUCAGCAAUUCUAAUUCUAAGUUAACAAAGGUUUUGUGUGAGAAUGUAGAGAGCGAAUGUGUACGUGCACACAUGAACGCACUGGGGAGAUGAACAACAGGAGAACUCUCCUUCCUUUCCAUCAGAUGCUGAUGCCCCCAGACUCUGAUGUAUGGACAUUAAGGCCUCAAUGUCUUCAAAUCCCAUUGCCUUCCGUGAGCUUUUCACAGAGGGUAACUGAUUGGAACACAGGAACCUGUUCUGUUGUUGAUGUC